AACGAACGCUGGCGGCAUGCCUAACACAUGCAAGUCGAACGAGACCUUCGGGUCUAGUGGCGCACGGGUGCGUAACGCGUGGGAAUCUGCCCUUGGGUUCGGAAUAACUCGCCGAAAGGCGUGCUAAUACCGGAUGAUGACGUAAGUCCAAAGAUUUAUCGCCCAAGGAUGAGCCCGCGUUGGAUUAGCUAGUUGGUGAGGUAAAGGCUCACCAAGGCGACGAUCCAUAGCUGGUCUGAGAGGAUGAUCAGCCACACUGGGACUGCGACACGGCCCAGACUCCUACGGGAGGCAGCAGUGGGGAAUAUUGGACAAUGGGCGAAAGCCUGAUCCAGCCAUGCCGCGUGAGUGAUGAAGGCCUUAGGGUUGUAAAGCUCUUUUACCCGGGAUGAUAAUGACCGUACCGGGAGAAUAAGCACCGGCUAACUCCGUG
rnacentral:rRNA from 1 species